GCAUGGAUGUCAAGCAGCCGUCAAAGAAAUCCGCUCUCCUCGGCGUUGCAGCACAGUCGUCGAGGCUCGAUCGUUCGCCAAGAUGAUUCAACGAGAGGUUGAAGCCCUUUCAGCUGUUCAGCACCGUAAUAUUAUUGGACUGCUAGAUCUUCGCAUGGAAAACGAAUCGAGUGAUGGUGAAGCAUCGAUUAGAGUCUCGCUUAUCUUUGAAUUCGCCAACGGAGGGACUCUUUUCGACUGACUUUUCGGCGGCCUAGCAAAAAAUAGCAAAUUCAAAUUAGACGUGAAUCAAAUGAUGCUGACCGCUCGCCAUCUCACCGCGAAACUCUCCAUCUACUGCAUUCCACUCAGCAGAAGCCGGGCGGUUCAGUUAUGGUCCACCGUGACGUGAAAUCCGCCAAUGUUUUACUGCAACGGGAUGACGAAGGAAGAGUCGUGCGAGCUGUUUUGGACGAUUUAACGUCUUCAUUUGGAUCUUAACGAAAGUGGCUCCCGCCUUGGCCUAGCAGCCAGUUUCAUGACAGCCGUGGUAGGUACCCACGGCUAUGUCGAUCCUUUGUGUGCGGAGCGUUUAACCUGCAGACGGGUCGGCCAGUUUGCAUGUCCUUCACGCUUGAAGGUCGCGGGGAAUAUUACGUUAAACUGUCAAUGCGGUGGUGUAGAGGUUGGGUGAGAAUUGGACGUGUUGCAUCAUUAUCAAGCAGGAGAAAAAAGGCCAAAGAAAUCAGUCGAGUGAUCAUCUCCGACACUGCAAUAGCAACUGCAGGGCACUAUUGAUCAUCAAUUGAUUCUUCACUGUGUAAUCAGUUCGUAAUCAUGGUUAAUUAUGGCGUUGUGCUGCUGUUGGGUCGACCACGAGUGUACCGAUGUCUCCUGGAUACGGUGGCCCCGAGUUACUUCACCAAAGCGCCUGAGUACUACACUGAGGCUCCCAAGUACUACACCAUCAAAGCCCCAGAGUAUUACACUGCAAUCUACGCUGCCCCAGCUUACACCACCAAGGGACCGGAGUACUGCACCACAACCUACGCUGCCCCAGUUCACUACGCCGCCCUGAGCUACACAACCACAUCUGAGGCAGCCGUCAUUACUGCACAGCGGCUGCUUCUUAGUAACAACCUACGUUACACCUAGAUGCUACACCGAAGCCCCCAAGUACUGCACCGGCAAGGCCGAAUAUUACAUAACCACGUUUGCUGCCCCAGCUACCCUGCUACACCGAGAAACCCAAGUAUUUCUCUGCUCCAAGCAACUAUCGAACAGAGGCUCCUGUUGACUACACCACCCAUGCCCCGGGGUUUUACAGUACAACCUACGCUGCCCCAUCUACACCAUCAAGGCUCCAAAGUACUACGCCACCGAGGCACCCGAGCUACUACUUAGGCUGCUCCGACUUUCUGCACCGAAGCUGCGAAAUAUUCCACUGCCCCGAGUUACUACACCAUCAAGGCUGUUACAAUGUUACAUCACAACCUACGCUUCUCCAGUUUACUACAUAAUGGUGAAGCCAGAAAUGGAAACAGUCUAGUGCUGUUUGGUGUAUCGUUGAUGGUCGAGUCGUCCACUGGUGUACCGGUGUCCCCUGGGUGUGGCAGAUACCAAACCGCAAUGCUACCGUCUUACUACACAACAAACAUACGCAACCAGUUACUACACCUAAAAGGCCGUAUGUUACACAAGGACGUAUGCUACACCAGUUUACUACACCGAGGAAUUCAAGUAUUACUCUUCCCCGAACAAAUACCAAACAGAGGCUCCUGUUUACUACACUACCAUCGCCCUCGAGUGUUACACUAAAACCUACGUUGCCCCCAACUACUACACUGUGGCUCCGAAGUGCUACACAUCAAUGCACAACCAAUUCGCAAUUGUUUAUUUUUACGUCGUGCUGCUGUUGGUUGUUCUAUCGUUGCUAACGUGUUGACCACUGUACCGAACUCCACCGACUUUGG